rnacentral:rRNA from 1 species
GCUUAGAGAGGGGUCAAUGUCCUAUCAGCUAGUUGGUAGGGUAAUGGCCUACCAAGGCUAAGACGGGUAGCCGGCCUGAGAGGGUGGUCGGCCACACUGGGACUGAGACACUGCCCAGACUCCUACGGGAGGCUGCAGUCGAGAAUCUUUCGCAAUGCCCGAAAGGGUGACGAAGCGACGCCGCGUGUGGGAAGAAGGCCUUCGGGUUGUAAACCACUGUCGGGAGUUAAGAAAUGCAAGGGUGUUAAUAGCAUCCUUGCUUGACUAAGGCUCCGGAGGAAGCCACGGCUAACUCUGUGCCAGCAGCCGCGGUAAUACAGAGGCGGCAAGCGUUGUUCGGAAUUAUUGGGCGUAAAGAGCACGUAGGCGGCUUUGUAAGUCAGUUGUGAAAGCCUCCUGCCCAACGGAAGAACAGCAUCUGAUACUGCAAGGCUAGAGUGCGGAAGGG